AUUGAACGCUGGCGGCAGGCCUAACACAUGCAAGUCGAACGAGUGGCGGACGGGUGAGUAAUGUCUGGGAAACUGCCUGAUGGAGGGGGAUAACUACUGGAAACGGUAGCUAAUACCGCAUACCAUCAGAUGUGCCCAGAUGGGAUUAGCUGGUUGGUGGGGUAACGGCUCACCAAGGCGACGAUCCCUAGCUGUUCUGAUAGGAGGACCAGCAAAACGGGACCUGAGACACGGUCCAGACGCCUAGUGGAGGCACAAGUGGGGAAUAUUGCACAAUGGGCGCAAGCCUGAUGCAGCCAUGCCGCGUGUAGGAAGAAGGCCUUCUGGUUGUAAAGUACUUUCAGCGGGGAGGCGUUACCCGCAGAAGAAGCACCGGCUAACUCCGUGCCAGCAGCCGCGGUAAUUC
rnacentral:rRNA from 1 species